rnacentral:rRNA from 1 species
GAAUUCGCCCUUAGAGUUUGAUCCUGGCUCAGGACGAACGCUGGCGGCGUGCUUAACACAUGCAAGUCGAACGGAGCGCCUAUGAAGGAGAUUUCGGUCAACGGAAUAGGUUGCUUAGUGGCGGACGGGUGAGUAACGCGUGAGGAACCUGCCUUUCAGAGGGGGACAACAGUUGGAAACGACUGCUAAUACCGCAUAACACAUAGGUGUCGCAUGGCAUUUAUGUCAAAGAUUUAUCGCUGAAAGAUGGCCUCGCGUCUGAUUAGCUAGUUGGUGAGGUAACGGCUCACCAAGGCGACGAUCAGUAGCCGGACUGAGAGGUUGGCCGGCCACAUUGGGACUGAGAUACGGCCCAGACUCCUACGGGAGGCAGCAGUGGGGAAUAUUGGGCAAUGGGCGCAAGCCUGACCCAGCAACGCCGCGUGAAGGAAGAAGGCUUUCGGGUUGUAAACUUCUUUUGACAGGGAAGAGUAGAAGACGGUACCUGUCGAAUAAGCCACGGCUAACUACGUGCCAGCAGCCGCGGUAAUACGUAGGUGGCAAGCGUUGUCCGGAUUUACUGGGUGUAAAGGGCGUGUAGCCGGGUUGACAAGUCAGAUGUGAAAUCCUGCGGCUUAACCGCAGAACUGCAUUUGAAACUGUUGGUCUUGAGUACUGGAGAGGCAGACGGAAUUCCUAGUGUAGCGGUGAAAUGCGUAGAUAUUAGGAGGAACACCAGUGGCGAAGGCGGUCUGCUGGACAGCAACUGACGGUGAGGCGCGAAAGCGUGGGGAGCAAACAGGAUUAGAUACCCUGGUAGUCCACGCAGUAAACGAUGAAAGGUGGUUGUCCGGGUUGAAUGAGACCCUGGGCGGCGAAAGCGAAAGCGAUAAGCAUUCCACCUGGGGAGUACGCCGGCAACGGUGAAACUCAAAGGAAUUGACGGGGGCCCGCACAAGCGGAGGAACAUGUGGUUUAAUUCGAUGAUACGCGAGGAACCUUACCCGGGCUCAAACGGGAGUGGAAUGGACCAGAGACGGUUCAGCCUACGGGCCGCUUCCGAGGUGCUGCAUGGUUGUCGUCAGCUCGUGCCGUGAGGUGUCGGCUUAAGUGCCAUAACGAGCGCAACCCCCGCCGGCAGUUGCUAACGGGCAAUGCCGAGGACUCUGCCGGGACUGCCGCCGCAAGGCGAGAGGAAGGCGGGGAUGACGUCAAAUCAGCACGGCCCUUACGUCCGGGGCGACACACGUGUUACAAUGGGCGGUACAGCGGGAAGCCAGGCGGCGACGCCGAGCGGAACCCGAAAGCCGUUCUCAGUUCGGAUCGGAGUCUGCAACCCGACUCCGUGAAGCUGGAUUCGCUAGUAAUCGCGCAUCAGCCAUGGCGCGGUGAAUACGUUCCCGGGCCUUGCACUCACCGCCCGUCA